rnacentral:rRNA from 1 species
CAGUCGCCGCGGUAAUACGAAGGGUGCAAGCGUUAAUCGGAAUUACUGGGCGUAAAGCGUGCGUAGGCGGUGAGUUAAGUCUGCUGUGAAAUCCCCGGGCUCAACCUGGGAAUGGCAGUGGAUACUGGCUCGCUAGAGUGUGUCAGAGGAUGGUGGAAUUCCCGGUGUAGCGGUGAAAUGCGUGGAGAUCGGGAGGAACAUCAGUGGCGAAGGCGGCCAUCUGGGACAACACUGACGCUGAGGCACAAAGCGUGGGGAGCAAACAGGAUUAGAUACCCGAGUAGUCCCUGUCUCUUAUACA